rnacentral:rRNA from 1 species
UACGUAGGGUGCAAGCGUUAAUCGGAAUUACUGGGCGUAAAGCGUGCGCAGGCGGCUAUGCAAGACAGAUGUGAAAUCCCCGGGCUCAACCUGGGAACUGCAUUUGUGACUGCAUGGCUAGAGUACGGUAGAGGGGGAUGGAAUUCCGCGUGUAGCAGUGAAAUGCGUAGAUAUGCGGAGGAACACCGAUGGCGAAGGCAAUCCCCUGGACCUGUACUGACGCUGAGGAGCGAAAGCGUGGGGAGCAAACAGG